GAGUCCUCUGGCCCCGCCCCACGAAAUCCGGGCCUCUCAAGCGCGGCGGUUGCGGUUUUGGGGAUGAAGCUACCGAUUUGGUCCUAGAGACGCCGCCUGGGGGUCCGCGGUUUCUUCCUCCCACAGCGGAGGGGAUGUGAACACCUGCUUCGUGGAGCUCCUGAUUAUGGUGUACACAUGGAAGACCUCUCGUGCCAAGAGCAUCAUCGGCGUGAUUCCCUGCUUUCCUUACAGCAAAUGGUGCAAACUGAGGAAGAGGCUCAAUCAUCUCUAAAUUAUUUGAUUCCAUGAUAUGCAAAGCUGCAUGCAUUGCCGCAGUCCGGCUGGGCAACAUAACCGGGAGGUGACAAGCAACUUGAAGGUUGAAGCAGGAACUGUUUUAUUGCAAGGAAACUCAGCGGGAACUGAGCAGGAACUCAAAGUAGCGGGCACCCAAGCUAGCGGGAGCCGCCUUAUUGCGGAACAGCAGAGGUAUAUAUACCUAACUGAUUACGCACAGCUUGACUCAAUUAGCAUCAUCUAGAUACAGCAGUCAGCCAAUAAGGAAUCCCCAUCAUCUAAAUGGCUCGGUGGUGUUGCCUCACAAACCACUCCUCCUGGCAAACUGCCAGGAACCAUCUUGACAUGAUUUGCGGUCCCCAACAAUGCAUCCUGAAAUUUUUAAGGCUCUCAUGAAUAUGAGUAUUAGCAGUGCGUAAUGGAUAAUUUAUCCUAUGUCUGGAACCAAUUUGGGAUGUGCAAGCAUAUGGUGUCAAACUUGAGGAGCCUAUAGAAUGAAUCUGCCCAAGAGCAUUGUCUGUUGACUACAUUAUGUUUGUAUGCUAAAGAAUCUGUUUCCAUUACAUGUACUAUCUGUGAGACAAUGUGAUUUGUGUUGUUAAGGUGUUCUUAUAUCCAGUGUUAUUUGGGCAUCCUGUCUUUGUAGUUGUUCGAUAUUAUGUUUAAUCUGGUUUUGAAGUUGCUUCAUAUAUUUCAAUUGUAUGUCUGGUUUAUCCUCAUCUUCAACCAAUACCAUAUUAAUUUGUAAUGUGUGUUUCAUCUGUAUCCAUUGGUUUGAGAAUGCUGUUAUAUUUUUACCUGAUUUAGUGUGUGAUGUCAACUUCCAUGUGUUGGAUACCGUGGCAUCCUGUUAUAAACAAUGGAAUAUUACUUAGCAUUAUAAAAGAACAAAAUCAUGGCAUUUGAAGGUAAAUGAAUGGCAUUGGAGAAGAUAAUGCUAAGUGAAGAUAGCCAAUCUCAAAUGGCAUCCUGCUUCAUGGGUUGUUUUACAUUCACCAAAACACGUAUUUGUGUCAGGAUAUUCAGAUUAAUAAUAAUAAUAAUCCUCACAGUUCCAAUUGUGUACAUUCAUAUUUGGAUGCUAUUAUGUUCAUUUUUAUCCAUUUUCUGUAUAAAAGCAUCAUAAUAUUCCUUUUGGGCUAUUAGUGUCUGAA
rnacentral:lncRNA from 1 species